rnacentral:snRNA from 1 species
AGUCAGAUUAUAAAAUGCCAAAUAA